UACGGAGGGUGCAAGCGUUGUCCGGAUUUAUUGGGUUUAAAGGGUGCGUAGGCGGUCUGGUAAGUCGGCGGUGAAAGCCCGGGGCUCAACCCCCGGAACUGCCAUCGAUACUGUCAGACUUGAGUGUGGUUGAGGGUGGCGGAAUGGGCGGUGUAGCGGUGAAAUGCAUAGAUACCGUCCAGAACCCCCGAUUGACGAGCUAGCCUAAGCCACACUGACGCUGAGGCACGAAAGCGUGGGGAAGCAAACGGG
rnacentral:rRNA from 1 species